AACGAACGCUGGCGGCAUGCCUAACACAUGCAAGUCGAACGAAGGCUUCGGCCUUAGUGGCGCACGGGUGCGUAACGCGUGGGAAUCUGCCUUCAGGUACGGAAUAACUCCUCGAAAGGGGUGCUAAUACCGUAUGAUGACGUAAGUCCAAAGAUUUAUCGCCUGAAGAUGAGCCCGCGUAGGAUUAGCUAGUUGGUGGGGUAAAGGCCUACCAAGGCGACGAUCCUUAGCUGGUCUGAGAGGAUGAUCAGCCACACUGGGACUGAGACACGGCCCAGACUCCUACGGGAGGCAGCAGUGGGGAAUAUUGGACAAUGGGCGAAAGCCUGAUCCAGCAAUGCCGCGUGAGUGAUGAAGGCCUUAGGGUUGUAAAGCUCUUUUACCCGGGAAGAUAAUGACGGUACCGGGAGAAUAAGCCCCGGCUAACUCCGUGCCAGCCGCCGCUGUAA
rnacentral:rRNA from 1 species